GUUUCCGUGGUGUAGCGGUUAUCACAUCUGCUUUACACGCAGAAGGUGCCCGGUUCGACGCCGGGCGGGAACA
rnacentral:tRNA from 1 species